UACGUAGGGUGCAAGCGUUAAUCGGAAUUACUGGGCGUAAAGCGUGCGCAGGCGGUUGUGUAAGACAGAUGUGAAAUCCCCGGGCUUAACCUGGGAACUGCAUUUGUGACUGCACGGCUAGAGUGUGCCAGAGGGGGGUAGAAUUCCACGUGUAGCAGUGAAAUGCGUAGAUAUCAUGAGGAAUACCAGAGGCGAAGGCGGCUACCUGGACAAUUGCUGACGCUCAGGCACGAAAGCGUGGGGAGCAAACAGG
rnacentral:rRNA from 1 species